AUUGAACGCUGGCGGCAUGCCUUACACAUGCAAGUCGAACGGCAGCGGACCUUCGGGUGCCGGCGAGUGGCGAACGGGUGAGUAAUAUAUCGGAACGUACCUUUCAGUGGGGGAUAACGUAGCGAAAGUUACGCUAAUACCGCAUAUUCUGUGAGCAGGAAAGCAGGGGAUCGCAAGACCUUGCGCUGAUUGAGCGGCCGAUAUCAGAUUAGCUAGUUGGUGAGGUAAAGGCUCACCAAGGCGACGAUCUGUAGCGGGUCUGAGAGGAUGAUCCGCCACACUGGAACUGAGACACGGUCCAGACUCCUACGGGAGGCAGCAGUGGGGAAUUUUGGACAAUGGGCGCAAGCCUGAUCCAGCCAUGCCGCGUGAGUGAGAAGGCCUCGGUUGUAAGGUACU
rnacentral:rRNA from 1 species